AGGAGAGAUGUGGAGGAUUGGGUUGGCAAGGCAGGGACAAUUCUAGGAGCUACAUGACCAGACACAGAAGGAGUUUGAGUUAGGAAGCUGCUUGUGUGAUGUAACACCCAGCUGGGUGUGGGUAACAAACAGCUCAAAUCACAGCCAGGCAGCUGGAAUCCGUUUUUAAUCUCCCCUCCCCUAACCCAAAGUGCAGCCUGCCUGCAGCAGGCCUGACCUCAGCACCCGCUGCAGUUCUGUCCCUCUCUGUCUGUCUGUCCGUAUAAGGCAUCCCGAGCAGGCAGCGCUUGGGCUGCUUGCUCGCUGCCUCUAAUAGAGCUAGCUUCUCCCUGGACACAUUUCAGACUGUGAAUCCGUUUCUGGCUCUCCUCGGGAGCUUCUGGAGGACAUCUGUCUCUCACUUGAGUUCCAUGUUCAUGCCACACAGCCUUCUGGGCGACUCCUUUGAAGAGAAAUGUGUUUCCUGCUAAACCCGGUGGUAGAUUUGAAUGACAAUUUAACACUGAAUUAAAGAAACAGUUCUCAACUGAACUGGUGUCAUCCUCAUUUGCUUAAACGAGGCAGAUGACCAUUGUUAAACUGAGGCUCUCUUUGAUCUAAUUACAUGCCAUCAAGUACUCCUCCAGCUGGAGAGAUCACAGGAUUGUUCAAUCCUCACAGCUACAGAUUAGUAGAGCAGGAAAUGGUCACAACCUAGCCACAUACUUCACCCCUGGUUAACAGCAGCAGGAAUAAAACUGAGUUUCUUCACUCAGUGAUAUUUGUCACUAAGGCUUCCGGGAAUCAGCAGAACUUUUUUUCUGAGAAGAGAAGAGGAAGGUGGAGAAAGAAAAUAAAACUCUCUCCCUGAUCCUUACACAGAAGUGUGCUGACCCAGUGCAGGGCGCGUGGGGUGGUGGCUGGAGCAGACGGCCUGGCCGCAGGCCUCAUUAAACCACACAGGCCCCAGCUGCUCCUCAGCCUGCUUUUCCCUCUAUCCUGUUAUCUCGCUGUGCCCGAUAGUCUGUAACCGGGCUGAUAACAGCUUUGUCACACUGAUAGAGAUACAGCCUGAGGCUUAGGAAGGGUCCACCAGCACAGCCUAUGGCCCCAGAGGCUGUUUUGGUUUUGGCCUGGGAGCAGUGGAUAGACAGCACAUGAGGUUAACCCGCCUGACAGCCAAGCAUCACAAGAGAGACUGGAAAUCAGAACUGAAAACCCUGGCCACCUAUGCCUUUGAUCAUCUUAUGGGAACUUCGGACCAUUUCACACACACUAGGAAAGAGUAAGAGGGACACAUCAGGAAAAAAAAAUAAAAAAUGGUGGUGACAAAAAUCUGAAAUUGAA